CUAAAGGCUCUUUUCAGAGCCUCCAAUUCAAACUUUGAAAAGAACU
rfam:Erinaceus europaeus unplaced genomic scaffold scaffold00740, whole genome shotgun sequence